UCGAACGGUAGAGUAGCAAUACUCGAGAGUGGCGAACGGGUGAGUAAUAUAUCGGAACGUGCCCAGUCGUGGGGGAUAACGUAGAGAAAUUUACGCUAAUACCGCAUACGAUCUAAGGAUGAAAGCGGGGGCUUCGCAAGAACCUCGCGCGAUUGGAGCUGCUGAUAUCAGAUUAGCUUGUUGGUGAGGUAAAAGCUCACCAAGGCGACGAUCUGUAGCUGGUUUGAGAGAACGACCAGCCACACUGGGACUGAGACACGGCCCAGACUCCUACGGGAGGCAGCAGUGGGGAAUUUUGGACAAUGGGCGAAAGCCUGAUCCAGCAAUGCCGCGUGCAGGAAGAAGGCCUUCGGGUUGUAAACUGCUUUUGUACGGAACGAAACGGUCUUUUUUAAUAAAGAAGGCUAAUGACGGUACCGUAAGAAUAAGCACCGGCUAACUACGUGCCAGCAGCCGCGGUAAUACGUAGGGUGCGAGCGUUAAUCGGAAUUACUGGGCGUAAAGCGUGCGCAGGCGGUUAUAUAAGACAGUUGUGAAAUCCCCGGGCUCAACCUGGGAAUUGCAUCUGUGACUGUAUAGCUAGAGUACGGUAGAGGAGGAUGGAAUUCCGCG
rnacentral:rRNA from 1 species